GAUGAACGCUGGCGGCGUGCCUAAUACAUGCAAGUCGAGCGAACGGACGAGACGCUUGCUUCUCUGAUGUUAGCGGCGGACGGGUGAGUAACACGUGGAUAACCUACCUAUAAGACUGGGAUAACUUCGGGAAACCGUCGCUAAUACCGGAUAAUAUUUUGAACCGCAUGGUUCAAAAGUGAAAGACGGUCUUGCUGUCACUUAUAGAUGGAUCCGCGCUGCAUUAGCUAGUUGGUAAGGUAACGGCUUACCAAGGCAACGAUGCAUAGCCGACCUGAGAGGGGGAUCGGCCACACUGGAACGGGGCCACGCUCCAGACUCCUACGGGAGGCAACAGUAGGGAACCUUCCGCAAUGGUCGAAAACCUGACAGAGCAACGCCGCGUGAGUGAGGAAGGUCUUCCGAUCGUAAAACUCUGUUAGUAGGGAAGAACAUAUGCGUAAGUAACUGUGCACAUCUUGACGGUACCUAGUCAGAAAGCCACGGCUAACUACGUG
rnacentral:rRNA from 1 species